GCGGCCGAUAUCGGAUUAGCUAGUUGGUGGGGUAACGGCUCACCAAGGCGACGAUCCGUAGCUGGUUUGAGAGGACGACCAGCCACACUGGGACUGAGACACGGCCCAGACUCCUACGGGAGGCAGCAGUGGGGAAUUUUGGACAAUGGGGGAAACCCUGAUCCAGCCAUCCCGCGUGUGCGAUGAAGGCCUUCGGGUUGUAAAGCACUUUUGGCAGGAAAGAAACGUCAUGGGUUAAUACCCCGUGAAACUGACGGUACCUGCAGAAUAAGCACCGGCUAACUACGUGCCAGCAGCCGCGGUAAUACGUAGGGUGCAAGCGUUAAUCGGAAUUACUGGGCGUAAAGCGUGCGCAGGCGGUUCGGAAAGAAAGAUGUGAAAUCCCAGAGCUUAACUUUGGAACUGCAUUUUUAACUACCGGGCUAGAGUGUGUCAGAGGGAGGUGGAAUUCCGCGUGUAGCAGUGAAAUGCGUAGAUAUGCGGAGGAACACCGAUGGCGAAGGCAGCCUCCUGGGAUAACACUGACGCUCAUGCACGAAAGCGUGGGGAGCAAACAGGAUUAGAUAC
rnacentral:rRNA from 1 species